GCGGCGAUAAUAUAGCCUGGUUAGUAUGAUGGCUUGCCAAGGGCGGGGCCCCCGCGGCCCGGCCCGCAGAGAGCCAUCUGCCCGGGUUCAAAUCCCGGUCGCCGCA
rnacentral:tRNA from 1 species